rnacentral:tRNA from 1 species
CGACAUCGUGCCGGAAGGCGGCGCCGGGACUGCCCUGCGGGCGCAGCCCGACGGUCGUGCGGCUGCCGAAUCCGCCGUUCAUCCGGCUGAUGCCGA